UACGUAGGUGGCAAGCGUUAUCCGGAAUUAUUGGGCGUAAAGAGGGAGCAGGCGGCAGCAAAGGUCUGUGGUGAAAGACUGAAGCUUAACUUCAGUAAGCCAUAGAAACCGGGCGGCUAGAGUGCAGGAGAGGAUCGUGGAAUUCCAUGUGUAGCGGUGAAAUGCGUAGAUAUAUGGAGGAACACCAGUGGCGAAGGCGACGAUCUGGCCUGCAACUGACGCUCAGUCCCGAAAGCGUGGGGAGCAAAUAGG
rnacentral:rRNA from 1 species